rnacentral:rRNA from 1 species
UGCGGCCUACGGGGGGCAGCAGUGGGGGAUAUUGCACAAUGGGGGGAACCCUGAUGCAGCGACGCCGCGUGGGCGAUGGAGCGCCUCGGCGCGUAAAGCCCUAUCAGCAGGGAAGAAGGUGACGGUACCUGACUAAGAAGCCCCGGCUAACUACGUGCCAGCAGCCGCGGUAAUACGUAGGGGGCAAGCGUUAUCCGGAUUUACUGGGUGUAAAGGGAGCGUAGACGGUGUGGCAAGUCUGAAGUGAAAGCCCGGGGCGCAACCCCGGGACUGCUUUGGAAACUGUCAUGCUGGAGUGCUGGAGG